CCUACGGGGGACAGCAGUGAGGAAUAUUGGUCAAUGGGCGAGAGCCUGAACCAGCCAAGUCGCGUGAAGGAUGACGGCCCUACGGGUUGUAAACUUCUUUUGUCAGGGAGCAAUUGAGUGCACGUGUGGGCUUAGCGAGAGUACCUGAAGAAAAAGCAGCGGCUAACUCCGUGCCAGCAGCCGCGGUAAUACGGAGGAUGCGAGCGUUAUCCGGAUUUAUUGGGUUUACAGGGUGCGUAGGCGGAAUAUCAAGUCAGCGGUAAAAAUUCGGGGCUCAACCCCGUCGUGCCGUUGAAACUGAUGUUCUUGAGUGGGCGAGACGUAUGCGGAAUGCGUGUUGUAGCGGU
rnacentral:rRNA from 1 species